GGGACGGAUUGUUGCGACGGUGGGACGUGGUCUCGUGCAUCUUCGGCUCGGCGAAGAGGAGAGUCGAUCCAGCUACGUGGAGUGAGCGAGGUGGCGACGAUUCUGUGAGACGAGGACUCCCAGCGAGGAUCGAAAAAAGGUCCAUGAUUAAGCGCAUCGGGGGUGCACAUCACGCUGCGCUUUUAAGUAACGAUACGGCCAGCAUAUCCUCCGGUGCAUCGCAACUCGUCCCGGCUCGGCUCGACGUGCGAGUAUACUGGUAUCGAUAUCAGAUUACCGGUUAAUUGCUGACGGCGCGGCGCGCUCGGCCCCGAAGAUUGUUGCACUCUGACAGCAAUAUUUCACGCUUCAGAAGGGCGAGACUACUCGCUACCUCUUUCCAAAUGACCUGACGCCUAAUUGUAACACGACUUAUUUAAUGAAACGUUCUUACGUGUUAUGUCACGUCACUGUGAAUGCUUGUUAAUUUACAGUGGCCAGCGGAAAGGUAGUCGGCAGAUUUUUUCUAUCGGUGCGUAUUUUACACAGGUAGCGUGCACAAAAGUGAGAAAGAGGAGCACGCACUAUAUACAGACGGGGGAGUAUUGAGGCACGACAAAAGGCGCACUGUUCCCGCGGGAGAACAAAGCUCGUGGCAAUUCUUUCGCGCUGCAGCAGCUGCCAGAUCAGGAUCGCAGAACGUCGGUUCGCAUCGAGAUUAGGUCGUCGUCUCGCGCAACGAUAUACACAUACACACACACACACACAUACACACACACACAUAGCGUUAUCCAUAUAGCGUAACCUGUUGCGUGUAUAUCGCUCGAGCGUGAAGUCGCGCGAUCCAGAUUGAAGCGCGUCCGACUCGCGCUUAAAAGGCGUCAGUCAUUAUAUUUUUAGAGAUGAUCUUCGGCACUUUUAUGGAAAGACGUCCACGCGUGCCGAUCCCAUUCGAUAUGCAGCGAGCGGCGCGUGCUUUAUAGCGGAUUUUUCUCAAAGCCGACCUUGAUUUUUUUUCAAAUAUUUUAUGCAGAAUUCAUGUAGAAAUUUUAUUUUCAAACCUUACACUUCUCGAUUAUAAUGACUGAAUUUUUGAAUUCAAUAUUACAUUUAAAGUCAAAUUUGUUUCUUGGCGAGAAUUUAUUUUUAUUGGAACUGGUCGAUAUUUUAAAUAUCUCGAUAUAAUUAAAAUUCCAUUGUUCUUACACGUUUUUACACCUUAAUGUAAACACUAAUAUCGUUUGCGGCUAGCGUUGCCGUGCGAGAACUCGUGAACAGGAUAACAAGAAGCUUGGACAAUUGACAAUAAAUCACUUAACAUCGCUAUUAAGCUUAUAGAGUGUACAUCGUUGGAAACCACUAAUGUACGCUCGACUAUGUUCUCCGAAGUAAAUGAUGGCUCUUUAGUUUAACUUCAGUAUUCGCCUCAUCGUCGAUCUUCGGUAUAUGACGCAGAAAUUAUUCUAGUCUAUAGCGUGCACUUAUAAUGAUUUGCAGAUGCUGGUAAAAGACGCAAUAAAAGUUGUGCGCGCGCGAGGCAUAAAAGUGUCUGUAAAGACGAUGUUAAAUUCAAUGGCAACAUCUUACGCGCGACUAGUCGCAAUUAGCCUACUUGAACGAGGGCCUCGCCUAUCAUUCAACCGGAAAUCGAUUCGAUUCGUUGACUGCCGUCAAAGAUUAUGCGAGAUAAUCAUUGCUCGAAGCGAAGUAAAUUCUGAAAGAAAAAUUAAUAGCUUGGUCGCCGUCAUCACUGUCAUCGUUUUUGCAGAGAAAUCGCAGUGUCUGUUGAAAAGAAUAAUUCUCUGUCUUCGGAUCAUUUUGAGAUUAAUGCUUAAUUGUGAAUUAUCGAAGAUGUGAAAAUCUUUCAGAAUAGAUUGAACGAUGAAUAUGCAUGUGAGGCGUAUUAAUUGCUAUAGUUGGCUAACGAACGCUCGCUAUUGGGGAUAAUUAUCGCGAAACCUAUUUUAUUAUCUGCCUCUGCGUUCUUAACGAACUUAUCUGGAUUGUCGGGAAGAUUCUAUAACGAUUUAACGAUUGCGGUAUGUCAAUCCUGUGUUAUUUCUUAAAGAGAGAAAGAGAGUUGCUAAAAAAUUUUAUUAUAAGCCUCCGGAUCUUCAAAUAAAUUGGAUUGCAAUGUUUUUUUUCCGUUUUAUAAACAACCGUAAGCGGAUAAGAAAACCUCAUUUCUUAUUCACGUCGGGACGGUCACGUCGGAGAUC